AGAUUGAACGCUGGCGGCAUGCUUUACACAUGCAAGUCGAACGGUAACAGGCCGCAAGGUGCUGACGAGUGGCGAACGGGUGAGUAAUGCAUCGGAACGUGCCCAGUCGUGGGGGGAUAACGCAGCGAAAGCUGUGCUAAUACCGCAUACGAUCUAUGGAUGAAAGCGGGGGACCGAAAGGCCUCGCGCGAUUGGAGCGGCCGAUGUCAGAUUAGCUAGUUGGUGGGUAAGGCCACCAAGGCGACGAUCUGUAGCUGGUCUGGAGAGGACGACCAGCCACACUGGAACUGAGACACGGUCCAGACUCCGUACGGGAGGCAGCAGGUGGGUAAGUUUUGGACAAGGUACGGGGAAACCUGACUCCGAGCCACGUCCCGCGGU
rnacentral:rRNA from 1 species